GCUGAGGUCUAUCCCGACAGACCUUUUAACUGUAGGGCCGUGUCGUUGGAAAUGCCUCAGACAGCAAAUCUGUAGUCUUGCUUUACCCACAUGUUCACUGCCAUGAGCCUUGUGGGAUAUUACUGCAGAACACAU